rnacentral:tRNA from 1 species
GGGAUAUUAGCUCAGUUGGUUUAGAGCACUUGCUCGACAAGCAAGGGGUCGCUGGUUCGAAUCCAGCAUGUCCCA